AUUGGCGGGUGGCGCUGUCAGUUGCUCAGCGCACAGCUUGCUGGGAGUUGUAGGACGAGGGGUCCUCGUCCCAGAGGCUUCGGACGCUAUGAAGGACGUUUCUGCUCGGCCGGCCUGAGCCCACGAGUUCCCGCCUGGGCCUCUUCAGCUUAUGUUAGUCCAGGAAUCCCCCAGGCUCAGCAUGCAGGUUACAAGAGCUUCUUUUCCCGGGGCUCAGGGCCCCGAGGUUCUGGGGACCCGUCUGGGAGACCGUUGAACCGAGGGCUGGCUUCGUGGUUCCCUGGGGUGAAGAAGCCGUUGUGUGACCCGUCGGGGCCAGGGGCGCGGAAGGCCAGAGGGGUUAGGUAUUUGUCACCCAGAAGCCUACGGUUUCGUACACCAGAAACGGAGCAAGUUUGUCCGGCUGUUUUGAUCAGUCAGUCCAAGGGGGGCCGUGACUGGUCACAAUGGGAGAGUGGCUCCUGGCCAAGAGGGAGGGAACCCUUUGUGGGCUCACAAAAUAAUUGGGAAGAUGAACGCGACAGGUAGCCUUGGCAAUUUCUUUGUCUCCUUCUUCAAGUGUCCUCACCAGGAGUCUCCUUAUUCGGCCCUGUGGGGGCUUUGCCACACCCGAGAUCUGGGACCUGUAUCUCCACAAUUUCCAGAAAUGGAUUCUUUUGUUAUUUGUAUUUAACGAACAUGUCAACUUGCCAGAUUAAUCACGAAACUUUUGAUGUAGAAGAGACCCUUUGUCUGGACUACAUUUGCCCCAGAUAUCUUCAUGGCUUGUUCCCUAUCAGAAUGGAUUCUGUGGGACUGCAUAUUUUUUUGUGAUAGUCAGGCCACUUUCUGUUUUUUUCUUUUCCCUUCCUUUGGAAGAGCUGUUUAAAAUGCUGUCCUUGAGGCUGAACAAGAAUGAACGCAUAAGCUGGUCUCGGAAGCCAGGUUGGACCAACCGGGAAAGGCAUCACCUCAGCAGAUGACACCCAUCUUCUGAAGGCUUAGAGGUGGUCCCCAAAGGAUGCUUGGGGACACGACAAGGUGGUGUCAUUAGAGCCAGUUGGGAGAGGCUUGCGGUUUCACUGCCAGCCCCUUUGCGAACCAGGGGAGUGCUGUGAUGGAAAAUGGCCCGAGUGUAACUGAGGAAGCAUUGCGGUCUCCUCCAGGGAGAAGAGCUGUCCUCACCGACAGCUGAAAAUCCACGUGAGCAGCAAAGCCGAAAGCUCCCGGUGAAGCCUCAUGUGUUAACACAUGUAAUAAUGUGAUGGCCAGUAUUUAUGUAAUAUUUUAAACCUCUUGUAACACUUUUACACAUGACCCUACUCUUUUAGAAAUAGUAUGGGUCGUGAUGAUGGAUUUGAGUUUGAAUUCUGGUUCAACCUAUUGGCUGUGUGAUCCUAAAUAAGUUACUUAACCUCUCAGGACCUGUUUUCUCCUCUGUAAAAUGGUGAUGGUGAUGGUGAUGGGUCAAGGUGAGACCCACCUUACAGGAUAAGGCUUGAAUGAGACAAAUACCUAAUAUGACAUUCGACCCACAGGGGGCACUGCAUUUCCUUCUCUAAAGGUAGCUAUUUGCAUUGGUUGACCUCAAACUUUCACAAUGGUCGCAUGUUUAUAAAGGAAACGUGUUCUCUUCAAAUGUGUCUCAAGUUACACGGUGAUUCUUAACUGCAGCAAUGGGGGUGAUGUCUGUACUGUUAAAAAGCACCUGCACCCCGGCCCCAGACUUCUUGCUGAGGAUCACUGGUCUACAAUCCCGAGUAUCUCUCAGUAGUUGGAUAUUCUUGUUUGAUAUUUUCACUCAUAGCUUUAUUUCAGUAAAGUAAGGGUUUGCCUCCAUGGGAGGGCAAUACAUUAAGCUAAUCAAAAAGGUAGUCCACAGAUUACUUUCUCAUGUGUAGCCAGGUGCCAGGAUGCAUUUUUUCUUGGGCAAUUCAGAGGCGGGGCAGUUAAUGGAAAGAAGGAUGGAAACACAAAGGGUACUCAGGGCCUACAGGAGGAUUGAUUGGGCCAUGGCGGGGAAAAUGGAUAAAAAGGAAGGGAGAGGGAACUGGAGACAGUUAUCAUUUUUCUCAGCCUCUCAUUCUGCAGCUGUGACACGGCUUCUCCUGGGGCACCACUGCCUCUCAAUAGAAACUGCUCUCUGUGGGCGCCUGGGUGGCGCAGUCGGUUAAGCGUCCGACUUCAGCC